GCGCCUGUAGCUCAAUCGGAUAGAGUGAAUGGCUUCGAACCAUUAGGUUGGGGGUCCGAGUCCCUCCAGGCGCA
rnacentral:tRNA from 2 species